rnacentral:rRNA from 1 species
GACGAACGCUGGCGGCGUGCUUUACACAUGCAAGUCGAACGGAAAGGCCCUGCUUUUGUGGGGUGCUCGAGUGGCGAACGGGUGAUUAACACGUGAGUAACCUGCCCUUGACUUUGGGAUAACUUCAGGAAACUUGGGCUAAUACCGGAUAGGAGCUCCUGCUGCAUGGUGGGGGUUGGAAAGUUUCGGCGGUUGGGGAUGGACUCGCGGCUUAUCAGCUUGUUGGUGGGGUAGUGGCUUACCAAGGCUUUGACGGGUAGCCGGCCUGAGAGGGUGACCGGCCACAAUGGGACUAAGAGACGGACCAGACUGCUACGGGAGGCAGCAGUGGGGAAUAUGGCACAAUGGGGGGAAGCCUGAUGCAGAAACGCCGCGUGCGGGAUGACGGCCUUCAGGUUGUAAACAGCUUUCGCCUGUGACGAAGCGUGAGUGACGGUAAUGGGUAAAGAAGCACCGGCUAACUACGUG